AUUGAACGCUGGCGGCAGGCCUAACACAUGCAAGUCGAGCGGAUGAAGGGAGCUUGCUCCUGGAUUCAGCGGCGGACGGGUGAGUAAUGCCUAGGAAUCUGCCUGGUAGUGGGGGAUAACGUCCGGAAACGGGCGCUAAUACCGCAUACGUCCUGAGGGAGAAAGUGGGGGAUCUUCGGACCUCACGCUAUCAGAUGAGCCUAGGUCGGAUUAGCUAGUUGGUGGGGUAAAGGCCUACCAAGGCGACGAUCCGUAACUGGUCUGAGAGGAUGAUCAGUCACAGAGGUAAUGAGACGCGCUGAAGCCUACUACGGGCGGCAGCAGUGAAGAAUAUUGGACGAGGGGAGAAAGGCUGAUGCCGUGAUGCCGCGUGUGUGAAGAAGGUCGUAGGAUUGUAAAGCACUUUAAGUUGGGAGGAAGAGCAGUAAGUUAAUACCUUGUUGUUAUGACGUUAACAGAAGAAUCAGCGGCGAAUAACGUC
rnacentral:rRNA from 1 species